GGAAGGAUCAUUCGCACGCAUCCAACAGCAUCACGUGAACCUACUGGUGUGAGGCUCUGGGUUGGGACGGAGAUUGCAUCGAUUCCCCAACGCAGAACUCAAGGGCGGCAGGACUUGGAUGGGUGCCCUUGGCACCUCCUUCCUUGUUCUUGGCGUCAUUGUUGUUCCUCCCACUACUGUGGUCAUCCACAUUUCUUUGAGAGUGACUACUCACUCGAUUGCUGCACAACUUUCAGCGACGGAUGUCUCGGCUCGAACAACGAUGAAGGGCGCAGCGAAGUGUGAUAAGCAUUGUGAAUUGCAGAAUUCCGUGAACCAACAGGAACUUGAACGUACACUGCGCUUUCGGGAUAUCCCUGAAAGCAUGCCUGCUUCAGUGUCUACUCAACCUACUGCCGGUGAUGCAGCCCCUGAGUGGGUGAGUCAUCUGAGCGUGAUUGUGUGUUAGGGUGCUGCAGUGCCCCUGACGCAUGCAGCGCAGUUGGUUUCUUCCCGGCGCGCAACUUACCAAGCAUCUUGCAUGCUAUCCCGUUGCAGCGUGCGUGGAGGGAGCCCUGGCUUGGAGUGCCUCUGGCACCUGUUCAAGACAUGAAGUUAGGUCAGCAAACCCGCUGAAUUUAAGCAUAUAAGUAAGCGGAGGAAAAGAAACUAAAUAGGAUUCCCUCAGUAAUGGCGAAUGAACAGGGACAAGCUCAGCAUGGAAAUUGGGGUCUCUGGCCCUGAAUUGUAGUCUCGAGAUGUACUGCCAACGGAGGCGCAGAUGUAAGCCUCUUGGAAAAGAGCACCAAUGAGGGUGAGAGUCCCGCUUGCCAUCUGUAGUCCCCCGUGUACGGUGUGCGUUCUAAGAGUCACGUUCCUCAGGAUUGGAGCGCAAAGUGGGUGGUAAAUUUCAUCUAAAGCUGAAUAUUGGUUCGAGACCGAUAGCAAACAAGUACCAUGAGGGAAAGGUGAAAAGGACUUUGAAAAGAGAGUUAAAAGUGCCUGAAAUUGCUGAAAGGGAAGCGAAUGGAACCAGUGUGUCUUGGUGAGAUUGUCGCGCGCUAAUGCGAUUGCCUGCUGCUUCAGCGCAAGCGUGGCAGCAGGUUUUGAGCAGGACGCGCGCGGUGCUUCUUGCCUUGCGUGUCAACUUCAGUUCACAGUUGAGGAAAACCUCAGGGACCUGGUAGCUUGCCUCCGGGCGGGUGAAUGUUCUUGGGUGAACUCGAGUGUGUACUGCUUGGUGACUAAAUGGUUCUCUUCGACCCGUCUUGAAACACGGACCAAGGAGUCUAACAUGUGUGCGAGUUCACGGGCGGGUAAACCUGCUUGCGCAAUGAAAGUGACUGCUGGGAUCUUUGCACCAGCAACCGACCAAUCAAUUGAGAGAGGUUUGAGUAUGAGCAUAUCUGUUAGGACCCGAAAGAUGGUGAACUAUGCCUGUGAAGGGCAAACUCAGGGGAAACUCUGAUGGAGGCUCGUAGCGAUACUGACGUGCAAAUCGUUCGUCAUACAUGGGUAUAGGGGCGAAAGACUAAUCGAACCAUCUAGUAGCUGGUUCCCUC
rnacentral:misc_RNA from 1 species